AUAGUGUGUGACUCAGGAUGAAACACGAUUUCAGACUACGAAUGAUGUCAGCCCUCGCCUACGGCUUAGGCAGUAACUUCACUCUGAUCUGAAAUCGUCUUGUUUCAUUCUUAGUCAUACAGUAUACUAUUUUGUUCGCGAUUGAAAUCCUUGAUCAAAAGAAACGAUUUACAAUGUGUUAAAAAUCCAUAAGACGAUCGAUUCAAAAGUAUUCAAAGUAUUCAAAAAAGCAUUGAAAAGUAUUUAAAAUUUUUUUUUUCUAAUCGUUUUGAAUCGUUUCUUUUAAUAAGGGAGUAUUAAUUCAUUUUAAGUUGCGUUUUUUUUCCAUAUUUAACUGUUAUUUCAAUGUGUUUAACAUUCUAGAAUUUUUAUCGAUAGUAUUUUGUUUCGCAAAUUUGUAUUGAUACAUAGUUUUAGUUUAUUCAUUAAUUUAUUUUUCGACAAAAUAGUCUAUACGAAUACUUGUUGCAUUUCGAAUAUUUUGCUCGGACCAAGUAUCUUUUGGAUGAUGGCUCUAGCCUCCAAAUUUAAAAAAACAACAUUCCAUACUAAUUUCAACGAAUACAGAAGUAGUCGUUAAUACCUGAUAUUCAAGUAACCAUGCUGAUAUUGGGAACUGACAAACUGGAUCACGCAGUCUGGUGGUAAAAAAUCAAACUAAUGAUAGCUUACAACAGUCAAGUAAAUACACAGUAAAUGCAUGCUAUUAACAUCAUCAAUAAAUUUUAUACAACAAAUUAUUGAUUAAGAAAUAAAAAUUAAAAUAGAAAUUGGAAUAUUUUCAGAACGUAAAAAGUUAAAAAAUUGAGUAUUUUGUGCAGUAAGAAGCUUCGGAGUGAAGCAAAGUGGCUGUUCCCUGAUAGCCACGUUAACCACAAGUCAACCAAGCUACUACUGUAUUCUGAAGCCAAUUUAAAGGAGUGUUGGAGAGCAAACUGUUACUGUCAGACAAUGACAUUAAGUUGAUUGAAAGUUUCACUUCAAAUUUUUCUGUCAAAAAUAAUUAAUGAUUCGUAAAAAAUUAAUAAAAAUAUUGAUCAAGAUUAUUUUUUCAUCAAAUUUGUCCUAAAAAUAUCCUAUAAUUUGUCACUAAGUCCCAUGUAUUUUCCCGCCAUGUAUCGAUAGUAAUUCUUUCUUUUUAUGGUCAAAAGACAGCCUGCCAGUAGUUUUUUUGACAUCAGCGAAUGACAUCAUGUUAAAAUCUUAAAAAUGUCAAAAAUUAAAAUAGAUAUUAUCAAAUGUUUACUUGUUUUAACUUUUAUCUCAACGAUCUGCUUUAUUUUUACUAUGAAAACAAAUUAAUUAGAAGUAAUAUCAUUAAUUUUACUUGAAUUUUUUAAUUGAAU